UUUUAAAAACACAUGUCAGAUUGGAUGAACCCACUCUAUUGGCCUCAUUUUUACUUAAUCAGCUCCAAAUGCAACCACAUUACAAUGUGCUGGGAGUUAGCACUUGAAUAUAUUAAUUUUAGGGGUAAUCAUCUUGGUCUAUAAUUCCCUAUUAAUCAGCCUGAUUCUCCAUCCAUUUCUCUAUCAUCUGUGUGUAUAUGUGUUUGUUAUCUAUCCAUCCAUUUAUCACCAUCAUCUGUCUGUUCAUCUAUCAUCUGUCCAGUCUGGCAUCCAUACAUCUCUGUGUACUGUCAGCCUUCUCUGUGUACUGCCAAUCCAUCAUCUACUGAUCCAUUCAUUCGUUUACCUACCUACGACUGAAUUUGCAACAGGGAUGUGACCUUGUGCACCAGGAGAGCUGCAUAAGUCGAUUCUGCCUGGGUGCUGUCUUUGCUUCACGUUGGAGAUUCAUUCCCGGAGAAUGUGGACUAAGUGAAGACCCGUUAAGAACAAGCUGGAGCCAACAGUGUGAGCAACACAAAGAAGGAAAUCAAAAAGACCACCUGCAUGAACUGAAGGUGACUCUGACAUCUGCUAGAGGCAUCCAGAGUGUGGCUGUGGCUUUCACUCUAUUCAGCUCUGUUGCCAUCCUUGAUAUGUUCAGAAAGUGCUCCAAAGAAAUGAGACAGAGGAACUUUUGACCAGUCAUGGGCAUGGCUGCUUAUAAUUGGCCACCCGCCUGGAUACACAAUGUCCACCCUCUUGUUGCACUGUGGUUCCAAAGUUACCGGGCACUGCAGGAGAUGCCCGCUCCCAGUGGUGAGCUGUAAUAGCCAGAUUCUGUGUGUUGACUUCUGCCUGUGGUUUCGUUCUACCAUUUUCUUGGUUCCUUCUCUCUGCCCUUUCCUUCCAGCAUC